AUUGAACGCUGGCGGCAGGCCUAACACAUGCCCGUCGAGCGGGCGGCGGACGGGAGAGUAAUGCCUAGGAAUCUGCCUGGGAGUGGGGGAUAAGUACUGGAUACGAUAGCUAAUACCGCAUACCAUCAGAUGUGCCCAAACGGGAUUAGCUAGUAGGUGGGGUAACGGCUCACCUAGGCGACUAUCCCUAGGUGGUCUGAGAGGAUGACCCGCCACACUGGAACUGAGAAACGUUACAGACUCAUACGGGAGUCAGCAGUGGGGAAUAUGGCACAAUUGGCGCAAGCGGAAUGCAGCCAUGCCGCGUGUGUGAAGACGGCCUUCGGGUUGUAAAGCACUUUCAUCGGGGAGGCGUUACCCGCAGAAGAAGCACCGGCAAACACCGUGCCAGCAGCCGCGGUGAUUG
rnacentral:rRNA from 1 species